GAUGAAGAACGCAGCGAAAUGCGAUACGUAAUGUGAAUUGCAGAAUUCAGUGAAUCAUCGAAUCUUUGAACGCAUAUUGCGCUCUCUGGUAUUCCGGAGAGCAUGCUUGUUUGAGUAUCAGUAAACACCUCAACUCCCUUUUCUUUUUUGAAAUGGGAGCUGGACUUGAGUGAUCCCAACACUUUUCUCACUGGAAAGUGGCGGGUCACUUGAAAUGCAGGUGCAGCUGGACUUUUCUCUGAGCUAUAAGCAUAUCUAUUUAGUCUGCCUAAAAAACAGAUUAUUACCUUUGCUGCAGCUAACAUAAAGUAGAUGAGUUCUUGUGCUGACUGAUGCAGGAUUCACAGAGACAGCUUUGCGGCUGACUUUGUAAACUCGAUCUCAAAUCAAGUAAGACUACCCGCUGAACUUAAGCAUAUCAAUAAGCGGAGGA
rnacentral:misc_RNA from 1 species